UACAGAGGAUGCAAGCGUUAUCCGGAAUGAUUGGGCGUAAAGCGUCUGUAGGUGGCUUUUAAGUCCGCCGUCAAAUCCCCAGGGCUCAACUCUGGACAGGCGGUGGAAACUACCAAGCUGGAGUACGGUAGGGCAGAGGGAAUUUCCGGUGGAGCGUGAAAUGCGUAGAGAUCGGAAAGAACACCAACGGCGAAGCACUCUGCUGGGCCGACACUGACACUGAGAGACGAAAGCUAGGGAGCGAAUGGG
rnacentral:rRNA from 1 species